CAUGCAGUCGAGCGAAUGGAUUGAGAGCUUGCUCUCAAGAAGUUAGCGGCGGACGGGUGAGUAACACGUGGGUAACCUGCCCAUAAGACUGGGAUAACUCCGGGAAACCGGGGCUAAUACCGGAUAACAUUUUGAACUGCAUGGUUCGAAAUUGAAAGGCGGCUUCGGCUGUCACUUAUGGAUGGACCCGCGUCGCAUUAGCUAGUUGGUGAGGUAACGGCUCACCAAGGCAACGAUGCGUAGCCGACCUGAGAGGGUGAUCGGCCACACUGGGACUGAGACACGGCCCAGACUCCUACGGGAGGCAGCAGUAGGGAAUCUUCCGCAAUGGACGAAAGUCUGACGGAGCAACGCCGCGUGAGUGAUGAAGGCUUUCGGGUCGUAAAACUCUGUUGUUAGGGAAGAACAAGUGCUAGUUGAAUAAGCUGGCACCUUGACGGUACCUAACCAGAAAGCCACGGCUAACUACGUGCCAGCAGCCGCGGUAAUACGUAGGUGGCAAGCGUUAUCCGGAAUUAUUGGGCGUAAAGCGCGCGCAGGUGGUUUCUUAAGUCUGAUGUGAAAGCCCACGGCUCAACCCGUGGAGGGUCAUUGGAAACUGGGAGACUUGAGUGCAGAAGAGGAAAGUGGAAUUCCAUGUGUAGCGGUGAAAUGCGUAGAGAUAUGGAGGAACACCAGUGGCGAAGCGACUUUCUGGUCUGUAACUGACA
rnacentral:rRNA from 1 species